UACGAAGGGGGCUAGCGUUGUUCGGAUUUACUGGGCGUAAAGCGCACGUAGGCGGAUCGUUAAGUCGGGGGUGAAAUCCUGGAGCUCAACUCCAGAACUGCCUUCGAUACUGGCGAUCUUGAGUCCGGAAGAGGUGAGUGGAACUCCUAGUGUAGAGGUGGAAUUCGUAGAUAUUAGGAAGAACACCAGUGGCGAAGGCGGCUGCAGCUGGUCCGGUGACUCGACGCUGAGGUGCGAAAGCGUGGGGAGUAAACAGG
rnacentral:rRNA from 1 species